rnacentral:rRNA from 1 species
AACAGGAUUAGAUACCCUGGUAGUCCACGCCGUAAACGAUGUCGACUUGGAGGUUGUUCCCUUGAGGAGUGGCUUCCGGAGCUAACGCGUUAAGUCGACCGCCUGGGGAGUACGGCCGCAAGGUUAAAACUCAAAUGAAUUGACGGGGGCCCGCACAAGCGGUGGAGCAUGUGGUUUAAUUCGAUGCAACGCGAAGAACCUUACCUACUCUUGACAUCCACGGAAUUCGGCAGAGAUGCCUUAGUGCCUUCGGGAACCGUGAGACAGGUGCUGCAUGGCUGUCGUCAGCUCGUGUUGUGAAAUGUUGGGUUAAGUCCCGCAACGAGCGCAACCCUUAUCCUUUGUUGCCAGCGAUUCGGUCGGGAACUCAAAGGAGACUGCCGGUGAUAAACCGGAGGAAGGUGGGGAUGACGUCAAGUCAUCAUGGCCCUUACGAGUAGGGCUACACACGUGCUACAAUGGCGCAUACAAAGAGAAGCGACCUCGCGAGAGCAAGCGGACCUCAUAAAGUGCGUCGUAGUCCGGAUCGGAGUCUGCAACUCGACUCCGUGAAGUCGGAAUCGCUAGUAAUCGUGGAUCAGAAUGCCACGGUGAAUACGUUCCCGGGCCUUGUACACACCGCCCGUCACACCAUGGGAGUGGGUUGCAAAAGAAGUAGGCAGCUUAACCUUCGGGAGGGCGCUUACCACUUUGUGAUUCAUGACUGGGGUGAAGUCGUAACAAGGUAACCGUAGGGGAACCUGCGGCUGGAUCACCUCCUU